UUAGAAAGUGUGAGCUCAUGGGUUUCCGGCUGAAGGUUCAUCUAAGCAAGAGGGGGAAAAAGAGAAGUACAUACCACCCUGCCCUAUUUGUUUUAACACUGAAAAUGCCAUUGCUCAGAGAGUAGGCUUGAGAAGAAUCAGCCUAACAUCUAAGUAGACACUUUGCACCUUUUCUUUUGCAUUAUAAAGUGUUUUUAUAUUAUCAAAGACAGUUCCAUGAAAAGGAACAGUUCACUUGCUUCAAAUGGUGAGGGAACAU
rnacentral:lncRNA from 1 species